AUCAUCAUAUUCCAUCCCAUGCGCAGCAUUGAGAAAGGGCAAGUCUCUGGAACCAGUUCUGACGGAAAGCAAGCUCAGAGUUUCGCAUGACAGGAAAGACACAUGCACACAGGUCAUCAAAAACAUGUUGUAUUGGUUUAUCUUAAAACACAAGUAUCUAACCUCAAAUUGCUUUAAUUUGGAUAUUUGCAAUAUGAGUAAUUUGGACUUUUUUUUUUACCUUUUAACAAAUUUAAACCGGUAAAAAAAAUUAUCAAAUUUUGUUUUUCAAUAUUGUAUGACUUCAAAAAGUUAAUAAAGUAAAAUAAGAGAGAAGAUACAAAUAAGCAGUCUUCCUAAAAUAAAUGGGUGUUUUACAAUUUGUGAGAUAAGAUUA